rnacentral:lncRNA from 1 species
UGUCGUUAAAGCAACAUUGCCGCCACAGCAAACAAAGAAGCUCGUCUUCGAUUCCUUUCAAGCAGAUGAGGUUCUUAAACUGUUAAAUUCUGUGCAAAAGAAAGAAAGAAACGCAGAAGAAAAAAGCAGCAUUGCAGUCCAAAGAAAAAAACAAUUUGAUUGUUCAAGACUGACGAUUACGGGAUUCUUCACAUUUUUGGUUUCGACGACGGUUGUUAUCAAUGUUGAUUUGUUUACCCAACAAAUAUUUUGAUGAAAUUGCACAGUCCCAUUUGGUACAAUUCUCGAGGAGUCUAUGAGCAAUGUCAAUGCCUUCCUACUCCAAAGUUUUAAGGCAAAUAUCAAAAGCCUGAAAUUUACACCUGAAAGAUGAUUUUCUGUUAUCAAUGGAAAUAUAAAUAUUUUGGUUUCCAGGUUUUAAACGUGCCCCACUUCACAGCAUAAGUUGAAACUAACUAUCAUAUAUAAUUUUGUGGAUAACAUUUGACUUUCAGUGUUAAGUACAGAAACGACAAGUAAUCGCGACACCGAAAAAUAUUGGAUUCGGCUUAAAACUGAUUUGUGAAGUGCGUAACCGAUUCAUUAGAUUGAUCUCCGGAGAGGUGUUUGCCGCUGAGAAAUGCUGGUUUUGUCCAACAUUGCAUAAUAGAAUGCCAUCAAUGUAUACAUGUACUACCCAUCCUAUGAUCUAAUGUGAUACUUUAAAUUAUUAUAUACGGACGUGAAAGCCAUCCUGCUCUUCAGUUGAUUAAGGAUAUGGCAGGAAAAGCACCAAAGGCAAGAUACCGGAUUUAGGAUUGAGAUAACUUCUAAUCUUCGGAAAUAAGCCAGCCACUGAAGUGUGUUUUAAAAUCACCGUGCAAAGUAGCCCGGUUUGACAUUGAGUCAAUCUGCAACCAAAUUUGAUCUCCUGCUGGCAAAGGUAGUGUAGAUUGCAAGGAUAUCGUUUCAUAGCUAACGGUGCUAUGCUCAACUACGUAUCCAUAGCAUCUUGAAUACAAACUAUUGCCAUUCUUGUAAAUGCCACAAUUAAGAUAUUCGUAAGAAGAAUUUCCUGGAAACCUAGCCAGGCCGGUGAAAGUGAAAAAGUAUUUCCCCGUUCGAGGUGCUGUGAAUUUUCCCGACUGUAAGUUCAUGGCUUCUCCAAUGUUAAGUUUUUCAACGUCGAAUGGAAUUGGAGUUCUCGUUUGAUUGUAAACCGUUGUGGAUCUUUCAACACAGAAAUAGAUGGGGAAUGAUUUGACAUCUACAAAUGCGAUCCACUUUUGUAAACCUGAAGUUCAUAGCAUAUGCCAGUUUUAUAUGUUAAAUAAUUAUUUAAAUCGCUAAUGUUGUUUAUUUUACAUCCCUUACCUGAAUCAUUAGGCAAUUUCGUAAAGUCGCAGUAAACGCUUUCCACCAUUGCAUUUCCAGUGACCGAAUAUAAUCCGCUCAAGCUGUGACCAGCCCUCCACAAAUCUUCAUAUGACGAAGGCAUCCCGAUUACGGCCGUUUGACCCGAGCAUUCAAAUGGACCAAGCGUAUGGACACCGGGGGAACUUUGUAAUUGGGUUCGACCAAAAUUUAGCCGGGUGAUGGGCAGAAUGUCUUUCCUUGAAGCAACUUGCCCUGAUGUGUUAGUGGAAUGGGCGCCGCGGAAUCGCAGUUGCAUUUUAGCAGAGCAUCAACGCAGUUGCCAUCGAUGCCGCACUGACAGGUAUGAACGCUGGCGUCGCUGCCGGCCCAGAAGUAUUCAGAGCUACCAUCUUUGUUGUUCCACCACGCAUAAGGAACAUCAUCGAAUUCGAAUGGCGCGAAGUUGCAGUCGUACUAGUUACAUAACAUAGAAGUUGAUCAGAACCGUAAACGUAUAUCGGGGCAUUACCAACUCCCUGGCCGUCCGGAUCGAUUCAUUACUUACCAGAAGAAAGGGAUGGGUCGGCAAGGUGAGCAUCUCGACACGUUCUUGGGAUGCCGCUUCUUCCAGUUGACUGACGGGUAACUGCACCAUCAUUGACGACUACAUUUUCGCCGGCCCCUCCGUACUGGCCUUCGUUUACCCACAUAUGUGAUGGAUCCGAUGGAGUAAAUCGACUCAUGUUGGACAUUUGAUGGCCGAAGAAAUUAUCCAGCCGUUACCUAAAUGCCAAAACUGGUAACACGAAAUGAACCGAAAAAAGUCUGUUGUUUCCCAGCUGCCCAGUUUUCAUGUUUUUGUUGUUCCAAUGCUCUUUUCAUCAACGGUGAAGUUAUACACCACGUCACAGCAUACGGACAAGGAAUCGCGGCACCGAAAAAUGGAUUCGGCUCGAAUUUGAUUUGUGAAGAAUAAAUAACCGAUUCAUCAGAUUCAUCUCCGAAGAGAAAUGCUGGUUUUGCCCAACAUUACGUAACAGAAUGCCAUCAAUCUAAGGUGUAUACAUGUACUACCCAUCCUAUAAUCUUAUGUGAUACUUCAAAUUAUGAUCGAAGGACAUAAAAGCCAUUCUGCUCUUCAA